GAUGAACGCUAGCUACAGGCUUAACACAUGCAAGUCGAAGGACCGGCGCACGGGUGAGUAACACGUAUCCACCCUGCACUUUCCUCGGGGAUAGCCUUUCGAUAGCCAGAUUAAUACCCGAUAUAAAGGCUUGGUAUGCGUUCCAUUAGGUUGUUGGUGAGGUAACGGCUCACCAAGCCUUCGAUGGCGAGGGGUUCUGAGAGGAAGGUCCCCAACAUUGGAACUGAGACACGGACCAAACUCGGACGGGAGGGAGGAGUGAGGAAGAUUGGUGAAUGGGCGCUAGCCUGAAACAGCCAAGUAUCGUGAAGGAUGAAGGUUGAUGGGUCGGAAACUUCUUUUAAAUAAGAAUAUGUAUUAUAUGAAUAAGGAGCGGCUAACUCCGUGCCAGCAGCAGCGGUAAUUC
rnacentral:rRNA from 1 species